rnacentral:lncRNA from 1 species
GGUAAACUCUUGCAUUCAGAGUUAGAAGCAUAGUAAUGGAUGCACACAGCUUACUUUCUGAAUUCUGAUGAUGGAAACUAAAAAACAGUGCUUCAAAAGUCCUCUGCUCUGCUCUCUCUCACACUACAAUGUUCCUGUAAGAUCUGGUGAUAAUCUGUUUCUUUUGUCCAAUAUUCUUUGUUCUUAACUUCUCAGUGGUAUUAUUUUUCCAAGCUUUUUAGGGGUUACACUUACACUUCCUUCUCAGUCACAUACAUCUAAGUUACAUAAGAUUAUAAUGCGAGGAUGAUAAUUGUGAACUUUGAUACUUAUCUCCAGAAAAUAUUAAAUGAGUGGAAUAAUAAUACAAUCCUUGAGCUAACAAACUUGUAUGAGUUGAUGAUCCUUUAUACUGGGGAGUUUUGAAUCAUUGUUUUCUAAUGUGCUUCCUUUAUGAAGGGGAGUUCAAGAAAAUAUUUGAAUCCUUGAUUGUUACUUUUUUUUAUUUUUGAAUAAUUACUUGAUUGAUACUUAGUUUUGUGUCUCAUGCAUUUGUAUUUCUUUGUCAUGUAUAUAUGUUAUGAUUUUCACAUUUAUGUUUAUAUUUAUAUUUUACGAAACCAACACAUUCACAUAAUAAAGAUAUUAACAGAUAUAUUUUUUUAUCUAUGAUGAUAAAAAGUAAAAGCAACAAUCAUCCAAAUCUCAAUCUAUCUAUUUUCCAUUCGUUCUUGAUAUAAAUUGGCAGAGAAACUUUAUGGAAGAGAUAAAGUCAUAAAACCCUUAAAAUUCAUCAGUAAUUUCCAUCAAGUUACCAAAAUAAAUAGAAACAUACAUAUUUACCAAGUAGAAAAUAUCUCAAAUCGAUAUUUUUACCCCUGAAAUGAAAAGUGGGGAGGUGAGCGAUGAAAUUGGGGAAAAUGGUGGUCUAAAAGGUCACGCGUGGUACUCACACGCCGGGAAUUCUGUUGUGAGUGAGUGUCAUGCAGAGAGAUAUAUACAAUAAAAGUUGAAAUAACUUAAAAAGUUAACCUUAGUCGACACAUGCAGAGAGAUUAUUUCCACGCGUGUAAAAAUAACUUAAAAAGUUGACCUUAGUCGACACAUGUUAUUUUUUUCUUCAAAUGUAUGAGCUAAAAAUUAAAUCUCCACUAAAAAUGGUUAAAAUAUAUACUAAAACAUAUACGAUUUGUACCACACUAUGUUGAUAACUUCUUGUAGUUUUUAGUUUAUUAUAAUAUUUUAGAGUUUAAAGCUUAAUGAACGUUACUUACAGUCAUGCUUUAUAUGGAUUGAGCACCAAUUUGUCUUCAUAUAUCCUUUAAAAAUUACUAUCCAUCAAUAGUACGAGUCUGCUUUCAUAAAAACAAAACACAUGAACAGAUGAAAUUUAACCAUCCUAUUUCUAUUGAAGCUCGAAAGAAAAAUCUAUUGAAGCUAGUACAAUUUCCUUCAAAAAAAUUGAAGCUUCUACAAUUAAUAUUGCAACUAUUUUCAGGUCACUUCAUAUAUACCA